CGCGUAGGCGGCUCGGUAAGUCUGGAGUGAAAGUCCUGCUUUUAAGGUGGGAAUUGCUUUGGAUACUGUCGGGCUUGAGUGCAGGAGAGGUUAGCGGAAUUCCCAGUGUAGCGGUGAAAUGCGUAGAGAUUGGGAGGAACACCAGUGGCGAAGGCGACUAACUGGACUGUAACUGACGCUGAGGCGCGAAAGUGUGGGGAGCAAACA
rnacentral:rRNA from 1 species